rnacentral:lncRNA from 1 species
UUGGUUACUAACUCCACCCAAGUCCCCUUCUACUUCAUCCUCAUGGGCAUGGCCAUCUUUCAUACCUGGAUUUCCAUCCCAUUCUGCUGUCUGUACACUAUCUCUAUUGCAGGCAACACUACCUUACUGGCUGUCAUCAGGGCAGAGCCCUCUCUGCAUGAGCCCAUGUACUUGUUUCUUUCCAUGUUGGCCCUAACAGACCUGGGACUUAGCCUCACUGCUUUGCCUACACUCAUGAGGAUCCUCUGGUUCAAUGCCUCAGAGAUCAGCUUUGAGGCUUGCUUUAUUCAGUUCUUCUUCCUCCAUGGAUUCUCCUUUAUGGAAUCUUCUGUGUUGUAGGCCAUGUCUUUUGCCACCACGUGGCCAUUUGUCACCCUCUCCAUUAUUUUUCCAUCCUCACCAAGAAGGCAAUUUGCAGAAUAGGUCUAGCCAUCAUUUGCCACUAUCUUCUGGCUGUUCUUCCUGCAUUGUUCCUGUUGAAAAGGCUCCCCUUUUAUGGCUCCCCUCAUCUCUCCCACUCCUACUGCCUCCAUCAAGACAUUAUUCACCUGGUGUGUGCUGACACCACUACAAAUAAUGGGUAUGGAUUUGUUCUAGCUCUGCUUAUUAUCAUACUGGACCCCUUGCUCACUGUGCUGUCCUAUGCACUCAUCCUGGGACACGUCCUCAGAAUUGCCUCCCAGGUUGAAAGGCUCCGGGCCCUCAGUAACUGUCUGUCCCACAUUUUGGCUGUUUUGGUCCUUUACAUACCCAUGGUUGGUGUGUCCAUGACUCACCGCUUUGCCAAGCAUGCUCCCCGAGUUGUACAUGUCAGUAUGGCCAGUGUCUAUGUACUAGCACCUCCUGUGAUGAACCCCAUUAUCUACAGUGUUAAAACCAAACAGAUCCGUUGA